rnacentral:tRNA from 1 species
GGAUGCAUAGUUUAAUGGUAGAACGUAUGUUUUGCAUACAUAAGAUAUCAGUUCGAUUCUGAUUGUGUCCA